CCUUACCUGGGUUUGACAUGCCCGUCGUAUUCUCCUGAAAGGGAGAAGUCAGUUCGGCUGGACGGUGCACAGGUGCUGCAUGGCUGUCGUCAGCUCGUGCCGUGAGGUGUUGGGUUAAGUCCCGCAACGAGCGCAACCCUUGUGUUUAGUUGCCACUCCCGAUUCUGUCGGGAAGCACUCUAGACAGACUGCCCGUGACAAGCGGGAGGAAGGAGGGGAUGACGUCAAGUCAGUAUGGUCCUUAUACCCAGGGCUGCACACGUGCUACAAUGGCCGGUACAGAGGGCGGCGACGCCGCGAGGCGAAGCAAAUCCCCAAAACCGGUCUUAGUUCGGAUCGCAGUCUGCAAUUCGACUGCGUGAAGUUGGAAUCGCUAGUAAAUGCGUAUCAGCAAUGGCGCAUUGAAUUCGUUCCCGGGCCUUGUACACACCGCCCGUCACAUCAUGAAAGCUGAUUGCACCCGAAGUCACUGGGCCAAUCCCUUUUGGGAAGGCAGGUGCCGAAGGUGUGAGCAGUGAUUGGGAUGAAGUCGUAACAAGGUAACCAAGGGCGAA
rnacentral:rRNA from 1 species